GUGGUAUUGAGAGGUAGAGCAAAGUGAGUGAAAAAGUGCUUAUUGGAAUACAAACUGCCAGACAUAGUUAAGACUUCAGUAGUUUGAGAUAAUAAUCUUGGGAGAUUAAGACUAAAACUUGCAACAUGGGACUUAAUUUCUUCCAGGCAAUAAUAGGAGAGAGGACGACACAAAGCGGUGCAUGAUUAACAUCCAAGGGAAUUAUGGAGCCAGUGUGGGAGGAGCUCAGAGGUGAUGGUGUUGUGGUCAGGCUGGGGGCCCCCCACGUUCUGGGCCCGGGGUAGGCACUGAAACAGGCAGGUCUCCUUUCAAGCCUAACUUCUAAAAGUUACCAGAAACCAGACUCCUAACUGAAUAGACAUCGGGAAAUGAGUGGUAAUUUAAUAACUCUCUGACCAUUCCUUUUCUUUCUUAAUACUGUACCAAAACGGGCGGAAAACUUGAUUCUGUCCUCAGAUAAUCCCUUCCGGGGAGAUUCGUAGUGUAUGUGCUUUUUGGCCUAGUUAAGGUGGAGGCCUAAGGAGCAUUGAAGGACUGCUUUGACUCUGGUUUAUUUAAGAAGGUAAGAGUAAGGACUAACAGUGUUUACCAGAGGCAUAGCUUGUUAGUACUGCAAAUAAAUUUGUUUGGUGCUGAUUAUAUAGUAAAAUUUUUACUAGCUGUGAAUGCAUGGUGAGACCAGUGCCUUCUCCCACUUCAGCCAGGUUGCAGCACAAACGUCUUCUUUUCUGUCGGUCAGCCCUUGUACAGUGGUGUCACUCUUCUGGUCCACGCUUCAGAUUUCCCCUCACCUUUCCUGUCUGUUCAUUUACCAGGGCCUGUUUCCCACCCCGGUGCCUACUUCUUCUGUUAACUUUUUGCCCAGGCUGCUUCAGGUACUGUUACCUCCUACCUAAACGGUCUCUAACUGGCUGCCCACUUCUGAUCUCCCUGCCCCUCCAGUCCAUCUGCUGCAGAACCAUCUUCCUGACGGCCUCUUUGCUGCCCCCAGAUCUGCAUCCAGAAUGAUACGCGUGCCCCUCACUGUCGUGGCCUCUCCCAUUGCGGGGCACAGGCUCCGGACGCGCAGGCUCAGCGGCCAUGGCUCACCGGCCCAGCUGCUCCGCGGCAUGUGGGAUCCUCCCAGACGGGGGCACGAACCCCCGUCCCCUGCAUCGGCAGGCGAACUCUCAACCACUGCGCCACCAGGGAAGCCCCUGCAUGCUGUUUUUGAAAAAUGCAUGUUUCUUUCUGAAUUUUACCCCUACUUUAAAAGAAUAAUGGUGAACGAAGAGUAAUAUAACUAUUUUGAAGUAA